GACGAACGCUGGCGGCGUGCUUAACACAUGCAAGUCGUGCGGUAAGGCCCUUUCGGGGGUACACGAGCGGCGAACGGGUGAGUAACACGUGAGCAACCUGCCCUUCACUUUGGGAUAACUGCCGGAAACGGUGGCUAAUACCGGAUAUGACUUCCUCACGCAUGUGGGGUGGUGGAAAGCCUUCGGGGGGUGGGGGAUGGGCUCGCGGUCUAUUAGCUUGUUGGUGGGGUGAUGGCCUACCAAGGCUUCGACGGGUAGCCGCCCUGGGAGGGGGACCGGCACAUCGGGGCCGGGGUCACGGCCCAGACUCCUCGGGGGGGCAGCGGGGGGAAUAAUUGGACAAGGGGGGAAGGCCUGUGCAGGCACCGCGGGGUGGGGGAUGACGGCCUUCGGGUGGUAAACGUCUUUCGCUUGGGACGAAGCGGGGGUGACGGAAUGAGGAAAAGAGGCACCGGCCACUUACGU
rnacentral:rRNA from 1 species